GGAUUGUGGCUCAGAGGUAGAGCACUUGCCUAGCACGUGCGAGGCCCUGGGUUCAAUCCUCCGCACCA
rnacentral:tRNA from 1 species